rnacentral:rRNA from 1 species
AUGGGUGCUGGCUACCCGCCUCCCCCUCCCCCAGCUCCCCCGGAUCCUUGCACCACCAGGCCAUGGCGAUGGCUGCUCCCCUCGCCGGGAAUCCCCGCUCCUCCGGCCAUGAAGGGCUCCUCUAGCUCCGGCCGUGCGCUCCAGCACCGACAGCCACUCUCGUACUCGUGUAGUUCAACUGCAACCCCACCAUCGGAUGCGCGGCCAUGGCAUGCCGACAUGCCGUCCCGGCGCAAGUCCUUUUCUCUGUAUCUUGACCUCGGACCUUUUUUUUCUGUAUCUUCAAAUUGGCUCUCUCCCCUCUCUUUUUUUGGAUUUCACGCUUCAACUGUUCGUGACCUUCCUCCCAAGUCUGCUUCCGCAUUUUUGGUUGGUGAAGCAUGCCAUUGUUCUUCAUUUCAAUCCAAAUCAGACAUGGGUCGGUUUCGCGCGCGAGCACGGCAGCCCCUGAGCAACAUUUCAAUGCUCGCACUUCCUAGGAACCAGGAGCCCCACGACCGCUUCCCUUUCUUCAGCUCGCUGCCGAGCGUCUCCAGCCAAGACGUGACGUCGAGAGAUGGCCAUGGCCGCCCGAUGCCGGAGCACCGCCGGCCAAGGACCUGCCGCCAUCCAGACCCCCUCCACGCCAUCUCCAUCUCGCCGGAGACCUGCACCAAGUCCCAUCCAGCGCCUUCGCCACCCUUCGGCCCCCACCCCGUAGGUCUGCAGCCUGAGCGCUUCAACCGACUUGUGCCUGAAGCAGAGGAGAGGAGCUCCCUGCCACGAGCCUCUCUGGCGCUGGCAACCCAGCAGGCUGACCUCGCCUCCUUCUUCCUUUUUUUCCGCCGCGACGCAUCACCCCUUCGCUGUCUCCUACGGCGUGGACGCCGACGACAAGCGGUGGCCCGUACCCGGCGGUGGAGAACGAGGUGA